rnacentral:tRNA from 1 species
GGACCAUGGCUCAGUGACAGAGUAUUUGUUUUACAUACAGAAGUUCCCAGAUUUAAUCCCUGGCAUCUCCA